rnacentral:rRNA from 1 species
CAGGGAUUGCCCUAGUAACGGCGAGUGAAGCGGCAACAGCUCAAAUUUGAAAUCUGGCUUCGGCCCGAGUUGUAAUUUGCAGAGGAAGCUUUAGGCGCGGCACCUUCUGAGUCCCCUGGAACGGGGCGCCAUAGAGGGUGAGAGCCCCGUAUAGUUGGAUGCCUAGCCUGUGUAAAGCUCCUUCGACGAGUCGAGUAGUUUGGGAAUGCUGCUCAAAAUGGGAGGUAAAUUUCUUCUAAAGCUAAAUACCGGCCAGAGACCGAUAGCGCACAAGUAGAGUGAUCGAAAGAUGAAAAGCACUUUGAAAAGAGGGUUAAAUAGCACGUGAAAUUGUUGAAAGGGAAGCGCUUGUGACCAGACUUGCGCCGGGCGGAUCAUCCGGUGUUCUCACCGGUGCACUCCGCCCGGCUCAGGCCAGCAUCGGUUCUCGCGGGGGGAUAAAGGUCCUGGGAACGUAGCUCCUCCGGGAGUGUUAUAGCCCGGGGCGUAAUGCCCUCGCGGGGACCGAGGUUCGCGCAUCUGCAAGGAUGCUGGCGUAAUGGUCAUCAGCGACCCGUCUUGAAACACGGACC